AUACGGAGGGUGCGAGCGUUAAUCGGAAUUACUGGGCGUAAAGCGUACGUAGGCGGUUUGCUAAGAUAGAUGUGAAAGCCCCGGGCUUAACCUGGGAACUGCAUUUAAAACUGACGAACUAGAGUUGAGUAGAGGGGAGUGGAAUUUCAGGUGUAGCGGUGAAAUGCGUAGAGAUCUGAAGGAACACCAGUGGCGAAGGCGACUCCCUGGACUCGAACUGACGCUGAGGUACGAAAGCGUGGGUAGCAAACGGGAUUAGAUACCCUAGUAGUCC
rnacentral:rRNA from 1 species